CUUUUAAAGGAAACAAGUACUCCGCUGGUCUUAGGAACCA
rnacentral:tRNA from 1 species